AUAUAACGAAGGGAACUCCCUCCAGCCCACUAACGGAUGUGAUUAAGGAAUUGAAUUAGCUGCCGACUCAUUCAUUUAACCACUCAGUAGAAAAGGGUUCACUUUAUGCUACUUUGAUUGAGUGAAUGAUGCGGGAGAUAGUUUUCAUCCCUUGCUAAUCUGUACUUGGACUGAAGGGAGCUCCCUCGUUCUUUUCU
rfam:Helianthus annuus linkage group 7, whole genome shotgun sequence.